CAUUCUUUUUAUAGAAGCUGAGAGAGCAGGAUAGAUCUGAGAUUCUAGAACCCUCAACCUCAGCUUUUCUCGAAUUCCACCGACGUUCUCCGCCCUUCCUUUUGAGUCUUCAACGUCGCCGGCGUGGGUCUGUUAGAGAGCACCGUUCAUCGUUGCUGCCACAAUUUUCUCCUCUUCCUUGUUCUGUCAUCGUUCAGUUCCUCCCCUGCAUGUGUGUUUGAGUUGGUUGCUAUCAGUUCUUCUUCCUCCUCUGCCAGUCAGCUUGCCGUUGUCGACAGGUGCAACUACUCUGUCCACCAUUGCUGUGAAAUUCCAUUAAAAUAGUUCUCCUCUCUUGUCCGAGCUGCUAUGGUUCAAUGUACAAGGUUCCUUUCCUCUUCCCCUAUUUAGCAUGACAGAUUCGUCCUUCUCCCUUUUUUGUUCUGCCAUGGUUAAUAUGAGAUAGCGUAGUUGACACUGUACGUCCUGCUUUCCAAUGAGGGAUUUUUGCUGAGCUCGGUGGAGAUUUGUUCUGUAAAUAUAAAUUUAUGAAUUAUAUUAUGAAAAAUAUGAUUAAGUGCUCCACAUAGACUAUAGUUAGGGUCUUGAUUCUCUUUGUUAUAUAGUCUAUUUGUUGUUGUGGAGUAGAGCUUGAUAUUGCUGGGUAUAAAUUGUAAAAUUUUUGUUAUAGAGAUUUUGGAGAUCCUACUUAUAGGGAAGGUAUUGUUGAAA